GGGCGUUUGGUCUAGGGGUAUGAUUUUCGCUUUGCAUCCUAUAAAAUGAAUGCCACAUGUGAAAGGCCGGGGGUUCAAAUCCCUCAACGUCCA
rnacentral:tRNA from 1 species